rnacentral:lncRNA from 1 species
GAGCCGCGGGUCCCGGAGCGACAGGUAUGGCCCGGCCCCUCUUUUCAGCUUCCUCUGGGUCUCCCGGAGCUCUGGCCGGCUGCUCGCGCCGCUCUCUCGGAGUUCCACCUCGGCUUGACCGGUAGUUGUCCGAGCCGGAGCUUGGUGGCGGUGGCCUCAGAGCUUAGGAGGACGGGCGUGCAGGGUCCGAGUCCCUGCGACCUAGGGCUGCGAGCCUCGCGGGCGGCGGUUGCUGUUUAGCAGGCCUGUCCUAGGAUGGGCGGCUGGAGUAGGGGCUGCUGACGGGGAGGGACGGCCGUCCCGGGCUGCCAGCGAGCCGUAGUGUUGACUCCCUGGCUCCCGAUGUCAGCAGCACACCGACUCACUCGGGCUGGUAGGUGGCCCGAGAGAGCUUGAGGUGGCAUUCCUACUUUCUUUUGGGCGGGGUAGCUUGUACCCUGUGAUUUGUGAAGUCUGAAUGGGCGUUGCAGUUGGACAUCUUACUCGUUGGCUCUGGGAAAUCCCGUGAGGCCCUGUUUUAAAGGUGCUUUGCGACUCUCUGUGGCAGAAAAGAGACCUGAGAAAUUGGCUCCACAAGUGGGGAGUCUCCUGCUGCUUAGCUUCCGGGAUCACCAUCACCUGGGGGCAGGUGGAACUCUUCAGAACCCGCCCCUCCUGUGCUUAACCCUGGGCAGAGCCUGGGUGUCCCGCCAGGCUACACGUGAUAGAAUCCCAGCGGAUUAGUACAACCACCAUUUUUUUAAAAAACGGAAUCACAUUCCAUGUUACUGGUACCCACUCGUUUGCCAGUACCGUGAGAAGUCGGUUUCUUAAACAAUACUUAGAACUUCUAGUGUGUAAAGGAAGACUUGAGAGCUGAACCUGACACCCGUAACCAAAAGUUACUAAAGGAUCGGCCGUUUCCACUUAAGAAGAUCACAUCAGUUUAGUACUUGAUUUUUAGAGACUGGGUAAAGUUUAAGUAUAUUUUAGUUUGGUGUAUGAAAAGACACUAGCAAAGAGAUACUUGCCACCUUCCUCUCCAUGUAGUAACGAAGCCUGGGUAUGUUUAGAGGCAGUGUCUUAUAGAGUUAUUAGAGUUAGUAACAACUUAUUACUUACUAGGGGUUGAACAAAUGACUUAAGCUUUUGGAACCUGUGUUUCUUCCAAAGCAAAGUGAAACAAAUACCCAACCUUACCGGUUCCCGGAAGGUUCAAAUGAGGUGUAUGAAGUGGAUCUUAAAUUC